GGUUAAGUGACUAAGCGUACACGGUGGAUGCCUUGGCAGUCAGAGGCGAUGAAAGGCGUAAUAACUUGCGAUAAGCCCAGAUUAGGUAGUAAUAACCUUUUGAGUCUG
rnacentral:rRNA from 1 species